rnacentral:rRNA from 1 species
UACGUAGGGGGCGAGCGUUGUCCGGAUUUAUUGGGCGUAAAGAGCUCGUAGGCGGCUUGGCAAGUCGGGUGUGAAACCUCCAGGCUCAACCUGGAGAUGCCACUCGAUACUGCCAUGGCUAGAGUCCGGUAGGGGACCACGGAAUUCCUGGUGUAGCGGUGAAAUGCGCAGAAUAUCAGGAGGAACACCGGUGGCGAAGGCGGUGGUCCUGGGCCGGCACUGACGCUGGAGGAGCGAAAGCGUGGGUAGCAAACAGGA